CAUGGACGUAAGUUCUCUUACCACGCCAAGGUAGUGUCCAAAAGGGUGAAGCCUGGCAGUGCAUCCACCUGCCGAGUAAAAGACAGUGGAACACACACUC